rnacentral:rRNA from 1 species
UACGGAGGAUCCGAGCGUUAUCCGGAUUUAUUGGGUUUAAAGGGUGCGUAGGCGGCAUGCUAAGUCAGGGGUGAAAGACGGUGGCUCAACCAUCGCAGUGCCUUUGAUACUGGUGUGCUUGAAUGCGGAUGAGGUAGGCGGAAUGUGGCAAGUAGCGGUGAAAUGCAUAGAUAUGCCACAGAACACCGAUUGCGAAGGCAGCUUACCAAGGCGCGAUUGACGCUGAUGCACGAAAGCGUGGGGAUCGAAC